rnacentral:rRNA from 1 species
CGGGAGUCAGACUGCGAGUGAUAAGAUCCGUAGUCGAAAGGGAAACAGCCCAGACCACCAGUUAAGGUCCCCAAAUAUAUGUUAAGUGGAAAAGGAUGUGGGGUUGCUUAGACAACCAGGAUGUUGGCUUAGAAGCAGCCACCAUUGAAAGAGUGCGUAAUAGCUCACUGGUCGAGUGACCCCGCGCCGAAAAUGUACCGGGGCUAAACAUAUUACCGAAACUGUGGAUGAACCUCUUUAGAGGUUCGUGGUAGGAGAGCGUUCUAAGGGCGGUGAAGUCAGACCGGAAGGACUGGUGGAGCGCUUAGAAGUGAGAAUGCCGGUAUGAGUAGCGAAAGAAGGGUGAGAAUCCCUUCCACCGAAUAUCUAAGGUUUCCUGAGGAAGGCUCGUCCGCUCAGGGUUAGUCGGGACCUAAGCCGAGGCCGAUAGGCGUAGGCGAUGGACAACAGGUAGAGAUUCCUGUACCAGUGCUAAUUGUUUAACCGAUGGGGUGACACAGAAGGAUAGGGAAUCGCACGAAUGGAAAUGUGCGUCCAAGCAGUGAGUGUGAG